GAUGAACGCUGGCGGCGUGCCUAAUACAUGCAAGUCGAGCGAACAUACGAGGAGCUUGCUCCUCUGACGUUAGCGGCGGACGGGUGAGUAACACGUGGAUAACCUACCUAUAAGACGGGGAUAACUUCGGGAAACCGGAUCUAAUACCGGAUAAUAUAUUGAACCGCAGGGUUCAAUAGUGAAAGACGGUUUUGCGGUCACUUAUAGAUGCAUGCGCGCCGCAUUAGCUAGUUGGUAAGGUAACGGCUUACCAAGGCAACGAUGCGUAGCCGACCUGAGAGGGUGAGCGGCCACACUGGACCUGAGACACGGUCCAGCCUCCUACGGGAGGCAGCAGUAGGGAAUCUUCCGCAAUGGGCGAAAGCUUGACGGAGCAACGCCGCGUGGGUGAUGAAGGUCUUCGGAUCGUAAAACUCUGUUAUUAGGGAAGAACAAAUGUGUAAGUAACUAUGCACGUCUUGACGGUACCUAAUCAGAAAGCCACGGCUAACUACGUG
rnacentral:rRNA from 1 species